NNUGUAUGAUGACACCUCAGUAAUGCUGUUUAUUCCUGACCAAGCUGUGGGGAAGCCAAGCUUGGAAAGCUGAGUGUGCC
ensembl:snoRNA SNORD39 Small nucleolar RNA SNORD55/SNORD39